rnacentral:rRNA from 1 species
CUUCCGUAGGUGAACCUGCGGAAGGAUCAUUACCUAGAGUUUGUGGGCUUUGCCCACUGUCUCUUACCCAUGUCUUUUGAGUACUUACGUUUCCUCGGUGGGCUCGCCCGCCGGUUGGACAAUUUAAACCAUUUGCAGUUGCAAUCAGCGUCUGAAAAACAUAAUAGUUACAACUUUCAACAACGGAUCUCUUGGUUCUGGCAUCGAUGAAGAACGCAGCGAAAUGCGAUAAGUAGUGUGAAUUGCAGAAUUCAGUGAAUCAUCGAAUCUUUGAACGCACAUUGCGCCCCUUGGUAUUCCAUGGGGCAUGCCUGUUCGAGCGUCAUUUGUACCUUCAAGCUCUGCUUGGUGUUGGGUGUUUGUCUCGCCUUGCGCGUAGACUCGCCUUAAAACAAUUGGCAGCCGGCGUAUUGAUUUCGGAGCGCAGUACAUCUCGCGCUUUGCACUCAUAACGACGACGUCCAAAAGUACUUUUUACACUCUUGACCUCGGAUCAGGUAGGGAUACCCGCUGAACUUAAGCAUAUCAAUAAGCGGAGGAA